rnacentral:rRNA from 1 species
UACGUAGGGCGCAAGCGUUUGUCCGGAAUUAUUGGGCGUAAAGAGCUCGUAGGCGGUCUGUCGCGUCGGAUGUGAAAGCCCGGGGCUUAACCCCGGGUCUGCAUUCGAUACGGGCAGACUAGAGUGUGGUAGGGGAGAUCGGAAUUCCUGGUGUAGCGGUGAAAUGCGCAGAUAUCAGGAGGAACACCAGUGGCGAAGGCGGGUCUCUGGGCAGUAACUGACGCUGAGGAGUGAAAGCGUGGGGAGCGAACAGG